rnacentral:rRNA from 1 species
AACGAACGCUGGCGGCAUGCCUAACACAUGCAAGUCGAACGAACCCUUCGGGGUGAGUGGCGCACGGGUGCGUAACACGUGGGAACCUGCCCUUAGGUUCGGAAUAACACAGAGAAAUUUGUGCUAAUACCGGAUAAUGUCUUCGGACCAAAGAUUUACCGCCUUUGGAUGGGCCCGCGUAGGAUUAGCUAGUUGGUGAGGUAAAGGCUCACCAAGGCGACGAUCCUUAGCUGGUCUUAGAGGAUGAUCAGCCACACUGGGACUGAGACACGGCCCAGACUCCUACGGGAGGCAGCAGUGGGGAAUAUUGGACAAUGGACGAAAGCCUGAUCCAGCAAUGCCGCGUGAGUGAUGAAGGCCUUAGGGUUGUAAAGCUCUUUACCUGGGAUGAUAAUGACAGUACCAGGAGAAUAAGCCCCGGCUAACUCCGUGCCAGCCGCCGCGGUAA